rnacentral:rRNA from 1 species
CGCCGCGUGGAGGAUGAAUAUCUUGGUAUGUAACUCCUUUCGAUGGGAAGAUAAUGACGGUACCCAUAGAAGAAGCCCCGGCUAACUUCGUGC